CUCCUUUUCUUGGCGAGGGAGGAGUGCCCGAUCAGCUGCUCGGUAGGACUGCUGCUUUGCUCCGCACAGCUUAGAUCCGCUGGCUCUCUUGGUCUGUGCCUCUCGCUGCCACAAGAUGGUAUCGUCAGCGAUGGUUUCCCCUGCUCCGCAAAGCCCAACUUAACAUUCCGACUGCGGAGUUUCUGCCUUCACAAAGUCCGAAAAAACACAGUGCAAGGUUGCUGGUGUGGGCUGCCUGCUGCUGGGUACGGGGGAUCCAGACAAACAGAGACAAAUGAUCAAGCCUGAUACAUCACAGAAGCUGACCAACCACUUGAUGUGUUGUAGACAGCAGAUAUCCCCUCUGCCAACCUUCCACUUUGCCAGGCUGAAUUCCUCUCACCUGUCCUGACACCAAGUCUCUCUCCAUUCCCUGGUAAGCCUCAAUCCUCCUGUCUCCUCUGAGACAAGCCCUCCUGAAUUCGGGUGACCAGAACCACAGACCACAUCUCAGAGGUGUUCACCCAUCUCUGCACAGCACUGACAUGCUUUUUGUGUCAUCAGAAACAGCCUCUCAGUGCAUGGAUGCCUUGCCAGCACCAUGAGGCUCCUUGGCAGAGCUCGCUCUGCUCCCUGACAGCCGCUAUUGAUUCAAUAAGUGACUGGACUAAUUCCAGAGAACAGCCCCCCCUCCAUGCAUGUCCAGGCCUAUUAAAUACCAAGAUAACCACCUAUGGCUCAGGAAGCUGCAGAUCACUUCAGGGUAUGUUUGUGAAGUACCAAAAUUCACUUUCCUGCUCUUCUGUUGGAAUUUGCUCUUGAUUAGAGUUGAGUCAAGAUAUGAGGUCAGACAGGCCUUAGUUUUGACUCAGCACAACCAUUUUAAUUUUCACUUGCUUUUUUUCACCCUGCACUGGUGAUCUGUGUAUUAUGGCUGACUGUAUGUUCCAUUUUUUCUGUUACCCAUUUCAGAUUGACAACAUCCCAGACUACAGUGAAAGGUUUUGCUCCUCAUCCCAGGAGGAACAACUUGCAUUUUGACUUUUAAAAUUUCUUGUCUUCUUCUGUUCCAGGCCUCAGCAUUAUCUGAUCUUCCAUUCUCUGUAUUGACAAUUCUUUCUAGAUUUUUCUACAAACAAAUUCUUCUUACCAUUACAGACAGACAUCACACCUGUCACCCGUGACUACUUGGAAACCACCUAAGAGAGCAAACAGUGACACUAUUGGUACACAUGAACACACAGCGCUUUUCCCUUCCUCCCCAAAUUCUUCCCUGAAUUUUUACCUGCAAGUAAGUUUGGCUAUAUGAGUGACUGCUCUUUCUCAAACCAUUUCUCAUGGGAGUUGGCUCAGCCUGAAAUAUUGUCAAAAAGACUCUUGCUCUUCAUAUUACAAAAAAAAAAAAAAAAAAAAAAAUAGCAAGCACACCAUCACCAACCUUCACACAUCCCACACGUGAACCAGCACAGAUAGAGUAAUGCUUCCUUUCCAAAGCCCACAGAAAGCCCAUGACUUUGCACUGAGAGAAGCCAGCUCCCAGAGCUACAAGACAAAGGCUAAAAAUAACCCAUUAAAGGAUUAAUUUCAGGAUUUUUAAAUACAGCUAAUUAAUAUGCAUAGGAAAGGCACAUGGUCUCCAGGAAGGAGCACACACAACCACAGAGUCUGCAAGGGAAGGGGGGGGGGGUGGGUGACAUGCAGGCAGAGCGCCAGUGGAGAGAUAAAAGAGGAUAUUCCCUAUAUAUAUCCCUUGGGCAGAGAACAUGCAAAAGAACGUCUGUUUCAGAGGAGGUGGAAGCAGAGGCGUGAAGCACUUCACUGUUGAAGAGGCACAGACAAUGCAGUGCAACCACAAAGGACAGGACACACCUUGCUAGAGCAAGUGAAUCCCAGUGAGGUGGCUCAGGGGCUGAGGACACCACAGGGAGAGCAAUGGAUGCAAAAGCUGCUGCUUCAGAAGAGAUGCUGCAGUUGGGAGCAGCACGAACGCGCCAGUGCAAGAAGCAACGGAGCAACGGCUGGAUGAAAAACUGGAUCUCAAGGUGGAUGGCAUGGCAGCACACCAGGGGCCAUGGGCUGCACUCAGUUAUGGCACUUUGGAGGCAAUUUCCUCUUAUGAUCAUUGCAUCCUGAAAACAAGGUACCAGGUAUGAGCAACACGGGUGACGUCAGACAGAAGGGAUUAUCUACAGGUAAUGUGAAUCAGAAAGCAAAUCUGGUUACUCACAGGAUGUACUGGAAAAAACAGAGCUGUAGCAGCAGUUCCAGAGAAUUUCAAGGUACAGGGGGAAAACAAGCUCAGCUGAAGCCACAUUCCCUGUGAAAAACACAUUAUUGGAAACUUUUUCCAUUUCCCAGACAGCAGAGGAAUGGAUGGACAGACUUUAUUGCCCAACUCACUGGCUACUGAAGUCUCAAGGAAAGCUGGGGGUUUAACCUGGUGGCUUAAUUAUUUAGUACCACUGCUUGUCUGCCUGACCCUUUACCCUCAUCUAAAAGGAUCUUUGAACCUUUUAGCCACUUUCACAGAAUAUGAGAAAUGGAGAGAAAUCUCAAACUUUUGUGAGGUUUGGUGGCUUUCACAAUGACACCCAGGAAGAGCCUCAAAGUGUUGUGCAUGAAGCUGCAUCUUGAGAGCCAUCUGAGCACUACAGGCACCUGUCAGAAGCAGGUACAGGGGUUUAAUUUUGCAACAGGGGGUCCUGAUACAUGUUUAAGUUGACAAAGUCCUUAGUUGAGCUGCAGGGGAAAGAAAAGCUGCAGCACUAUCACACCAUUGGAACAGGGUCAGCUUCACACUUCAGCGCUACAGGAUGCUGCUUUUGGAGGCAAAGGACAAAAAACACAUUCUCUUCACUUAAAGACAUUCUUUAUUCAAUCUUUUUUAUAUACAAUAUUAUUUUUUAAUCUGUAAAAAGUACAUAUGCAGGAUUCCAGGUCAGAGGCAGAAGGUUUCACCAUCAGAAGAUAGACUUUUGCCCUUUUAUUAUUUUGGAGGAAAAAAAAAAUCUGUCAGUUUUAGACAAAGCAAGAAUAAAGGCAGAAUGCAAAUCCAACUUUCACCAAGCAAUUAGGAUUAAAGGCAACAAUUCACUGUAACAGGUCAGGCUGUCUCCUCUGACUUUGGUGGUUCCCAACUAUCCUGGGCAAUUACAGAGCAGUUUGUUAGAAGGCGCUGACAGCUGAAGCAGCUCCUGCUUAUCAUCUCUGCUACAGCUUGCACACAACUUGCAAAAGAGCCUGGGCUUCCUCUUUGUAUGGCAACUCAAACUCUUGAGUCAGAAGACUGUUUUCUCAAAAUUCAAGGACUGAAAGAGGGAUGCUUUACUCAGGGUGAACUGAUCUCCCAACUACAGUAUGGAUCAUGAGCUUGCUUUCAUUUUUCUCUGGUAUCAAGAAGCCUGUUUCUUAUUUGUCCCCUUAGCAGGGGCUUAGCAGUGUAAAUACCAACAGGGCUUUGCUUAGGGGGUGCACCUGUAAUCCUAAAGGAGUGUGUAAUUAUUGUCACCUUUUAGUACCCAGGCAAUAUUCAAAUCUUGUAAAAUGCUGUGGGGGAAUAUGUCAGUGUUUGGGAGCUGGAACUCACCGAUCCACAAAUCUGGAGCAAAGAGCUGAAGGAACAGCAAAGGUGUGACUGGCAAAUGGAACUACUAGCUCUUCCUUCUACUCCAGGGCACUUGCUAUUUUCUAUACUUUCCUUGAACAUUCAGUUUGAAGGACUAUAUUGUGCAGCAAAAUUACCACUCAGAAUAUCAUCCAAGGUGCUUUUUUUAUUUAGAGGACAAUGCUAAGAAGUUGACUUCUUGACUGCAGGAUAUGCACAGCUCCAGGGUUGUUAAUGGAAGCUGCAGAAAUCUGGCCUCUCUGAAAAGUCAAGCUCUUUUUUGAGGCUUGGAUUAGGAAAAGAACCAUACAUCCUUGUUUUGACUGCAUGCAAACAGGAAAUAGACAAUUUUGGGAUUUCCAGGCUCUUGCCCAAAUCCAGUGUGCCAGAAAUGCACAUGAUUUUCUGUUUUUUAUUUCAUUCUGUAAGGGGAAAGGGUAUUGUAGAAGUUGUAAAAUGGGACAGCUACCUAGAGAAAAUGAGGAUUGUUUUGUUAGAGAGUACAGUGCAAGACUCAGAAACAGCUAGGACUAAAAAGUCAUUUUUGUGCUUAAAUUUACACUCUUAUCUUCAAGAAAGUAAGACAGCAGCAACAGAAUGAAAUG